CUGAAACCGUGUACGUACAAGCAGUGGGAGCACGCUUAGGCGUGUGACUGCGUACCUUUUGUAUAAUGGGUCAGCGACUUAUAUUCUGUAGCAAGGUUAACCGAAUAGGGGAGCCGAAGGGAAACCGAGUCUUAACUGGGCGUUAAGUUGCAGGGUAUAGACCCGAAACCCGGUGAUCUAGCCAUGGGCAGGUUGAAGGUUGGGUAACACUAACUGGAGGACCGAACCGACUAAUGUUGAAAAAUUAGCGGAUGACUUGUGGCUGGGGGUGAAAGGCCAAUCAAACCGGGAGAUAGCUGGUUCUCCCCGAAAGCUAUUUAGGUAGCGCCUCGUGAAUUCAUCUCCGGGGGUAGAGCACUGUUUCGGCAAGGGGGUCAUCCCGACUUACCAACCCGAUGCAAACUGCGAAUACCGGAGAAUGUUAUCACGGGAGACACACGGCGGGUGCUAACGUCCGUCGUGAAGAGGGAAACAACCCAGACCGCCAGCUAAGGUCCCAAAGUCAUGGUUAAGUGGGAAACGAUGUGGGAAGGCCCAGACAGCCAGGAUGUUGGCUUAGAAGCAGCCAUCAUUUAAAGAAAGCGUAAUAGCUCACUGGUCGAGUCGGCCUGCGC
rnacentral:rRNA from 1 species